rnacentral:lncRNA from 1 species
AUGUUUUUUUUUCUUUUUCAAAAAAUCAUUUCCAAAACAUCGCUGUCCUCUGCGGCAAAGGGUCUUCGGGCCUGUCCGCUUCAUCUGGGGCCUCCAGGCCUCUUCCCGCGCACUGCGAACGAAGGGCUCCGAGGAGGCCCCAGGCGCACCCUCCUCCGGUUCUUCGAAGAGGGAGGGAGCGCGAGGCGCUGCCUGACGGGCUCCGCUCGCUCGUUCGCUCGGGAGGCGGCGCUCCGGCCUUGGCACAGCCUCCGAGGAGGGCCCGCCUCAGACAGUCCCCGGCGGCCGGGUAUAGAGCUGGCAAGUUCCUGCGUUUUGGCGCCCAAAGGGCCCCGACUCAGAUGCGGACCUGUACCUGAGUCUUUCUGCACAUGCUGGAGAUUUUUUGGAAAGGAUUGGGGAAUCUCUCUCUUGUCUGAUAAAAAGUAA